UUAGAUUUAUUGUUAGUUUUUUGCCAUAAACUUGAAAACUGUUAACAAAAGCUUUCAGGUGGGAAGGGAAGAUCCCUGGGGAUCUGUGCUGCCGCGGUGCCCUCCGUUCUCCCCGGGAGCGCCGGCUCUGGGCUGCCCAGGGCCGCGGCUUGACUGCCGAGCACGGGACGGCACAGCUCUGCCACCCCAGAUGGCAAGAAAUCGGGUGCAUUUCCUGCAGCUCGAACCUUUCCAGCAACAAAAUCGAGGCUUUGCAGAUUUGCCGUUUCGGAGCAGACAGCUGCAGGUGCGUGGCCCUGUGCCGGGUGAGGGGUGGAGGCCGGACAUCUGAGCGGAUACUCCAAACGCUGCUGUGA
rnacentral:lncRNA from 1 species